GAUUAAAGUUAUAUUCCUGGUCAAAUUCAUCAAAACAGAUUGUCAAAUUAACGCCUUAUUGUUAUCAAAUGCAUUAUUUAACUAGUAUUGACAAAGUUUUCCAACUUAGAAACGCUCUCCGUAAUAUUUCUGACCAUUCUAAAAAAUGCAUUUUCUUAUUUGACUGGGUUAGUCAAAUAAGAUUUAUAUUUUGGCGGGAAGCCCUUCGAUUAUUUCCGUAAAUGUUCGGAUCUGAGUCACGUGAUAUGAUUUACCAAACCAAAAUAAUGGCGGACAAUACGAAAGGUGUGUCACGUAUGUAUACGAGAAAUAAAUUUUGAGAUUGGAGAAGGAAAAAGCGAAAAGUGGAAAGAAACUGUGAUUUAAUUCAAUCAAGGAUAUACUCCGGUAGUGAUUCAAAGCGAUGAAAAGUUCUUAAAAGGGUAAUUAAAACCAAAAGCGACCGUGAAGUUGUUGUCUGAUUGACAGGUGAGGUGAUCAUCGUUUUUGUUUGCAUUUAAUUUUUUCUUGGUCUUAGAUCUACUAUAGAAAAAUUUCACCUACGAAUAUAUAAACACAGAUAUUGUGUUAUAGUUUUUAGGAUGGUUUUGACUUAUGAUAAAGAAAUUAAGCUUGCAGAUCCACGACUGUGUAUCAAGUUUUCGUUCACUGUAAUUUUCGUACCAAUAAAUAAAUUGUAAACAGGUUAAAUAAAAGAUCGGCUGAGCCUAAUCCUUUACAAUUUUAUGGCGUAUGUUCAUUGUAACCAUUGUAAUAUCGUUUAAGAUGGCCAAUCACUAUCUUUUAAGAAUCAUUUAAGACACAACAAAAUUAUAUUUUGAAUAACUUUUAUUUUCCAAUCACAUUAUUGUUUUUUACUGUAAGCUGUACUGUAUAGUAACUACAAUGCUGUGAAAUAGAUUAGCCACAUGUGUCUCAAAAAGGGUUGGAACCAUUGACUAGCAGAACAGGCAUUUCUUCAAAGCAUUUUCAACUAUCAAGGGUAGUCCUAUAAAUGUGAUGUCCUUUGAUUUUGAGAUAUUUUUGCUUUUGGGCAACCUUGACCGACAUUUAAGCAAUAACAAGCCCGUAAGUCUGAUAUAUUGAUCUACUACCCAGGGUUGUUGAAUCUUCAAAGAAAUAAAGUAGAAAAAAUAAAAUGUUGUCUCAACUUGUCUGGAAAAUUGCACAAAAAUCAAUAUUUUUGUCUCAUUUGAAUCAUUUUUGCAGUAAAAUUUCAGCAUUUCACAAUUUGAAAAAUAAUCAUGGACAAUAACCAUAAUUGUGCUGGAAAUGUUAGAUAAUUCUUAUUGACAACCCUUCUUCCUUAUAAGCAGUGCAGCAAUUCAUGUAUUGUAAUUGGCUUGAAUAGUCAAGAUUUUAGGCCAUGGUACUAGUAUGCUAUAUUUUCAAUUACAGAAAUAAAUCAAUUUCAUCGUCAUCAUGUGUUGCAAAACCACUACCAGGGACAUCAAAGAUGACCUGGACUUCAGUGCAUAUGCAGAGGGGAGUAGCACUAAAGAAAGCCAAUAAAAUCCUUUUGGAAUUGAAUUGAGACACAACCAUUCAUUUCUGGUUUAGUUAUAAAACUGCUACAGACUAUAAACUAUUCAUGAUGAUGGAAUACACUAAUGCCUGGUACAAUCAUGGCCCAUUAGAAACCAGAACAAACCAUGGCUGCAAAGGAAAUAAGAUGCACGUCAUAGUCUGAAAGAUCUGGCUGGUGUUCUGAAUAAGAUGACAUAAUAUCUCAACUGCAGAAGUACAGCUGGCAUGUAGGGGUUUCACCAGCACAUCUUGAUGUAUUGUACCAAACGAUUUGCUUACACACCACCUGUUUAUAGGAUGCACAAUCUUCUUGCAGCCAUAGAUUAUAAUAUACAUGCAAAUAGACCAUACAUCACCAACAAGGGGGAUCUGUUAGACUUCAGCGAGUCUGGAUGAAUUAAAGAAGAAGAAAAAGUAUCAUUAUACCAUUUUUCAUGAUGCUAUAACUCUGAGGAUUAGUGACAUUGAGGGGAUAUAUAAAAUAGAAAGUUAGAGGAAGAUAACCCCCACAGACUUUCAAAAUAUUUGGCCCAAGUUAGCCGGAAGCCUACCCGAGCCAUUCAUGAGGAACAUAAAUCAAGAUAUGAUUGACUUUUUAUGGAAAAGAAUGAUAAAUAGUGUGUUACACUGAUUGCCCAACUAUUGAAACAUAUUUAAGCUGACAUUGAAUACCUGGUAUUCAUGAUAGUUAUAUGAAAUAUCUUUUUAGAUAUGGCACUGUAUCUAUCUUGUUUUGAAAAAAAUUCUCUUGAUUCAUUUGUCAUGACUCAAGGUCUGUUUUUAAUAUUUUGUCAGAAAAAUUACUACUUUUUAUACAAGUGCAAAAUAUUAUCCAAUCUAUUAAACUAUAAGUGCUGCUAUCAGCUUUAAUGUAGUAACAAAGUUAAAAGUAUUAUUCAAUUAUAUCUUUUGAUAUACAUGUACUAUGUCAUUCACUUUAGCUCAGCUUUUCUUUUUUUUUUUUUUUUUGAAAAAAGAAAUAGAGGUUGCUGCCGUUGCCUUCUGCAAACUUGAACCUUGUUCAUAACUUUUAAAGUUCUUGGUGUAUUGUCUAACCUUGGCCUUCAUUCAUAAUUGACCUUGACCUCCAAGGUUAAAUGUCUAAAUUUUGGCUUUGCUUGUUAUUUGCUAUUAGUGGCUUUAACUUUAUUGCCCUUUGUUAAUUUUCAUAUUUCAUUUUUGUCUUGGCCAUUUCUCCUAAACUAUAUUGUUCACAAGGAAACACAUCCGACUCGUUGAGAUCUAGUUGUUAUUAGUCCAUGAAUUGUUUGUAGUCCAAUCUACAAUGACAUAGGGGCAUUUUAUAUAAAAUCCUUGUUCAAUCAAACAAGGCAAGCCUUAAAAUUAUCUUUGUAUUUACUCCCUCAUCCCAUUCCAGUUCAGAUAGGUUAGGUGGGCUGAUAAAAUAUUUAUUUUUGUGCCCCCACUUUAGUGGCGGGCAUUUAGAUUUACCCUUGUCCGUCCAUCCGUAUUUCACCUAGAGUCAUGAAACUUUACUGUAAUGUUGAUCAGCAAGUGUAGUUGUUCACCUUGGUAUUUUCAUCUGGAUAUUUUUAGUAUUUUCAGAGUUACUGCCAUUGAAUUUUUGCAAUUUUCAACUUGUGUCGCAUGUUACUCAAGCAGUAUUUGACCUAGAGCAAUGAAACUUUACAGGAAUGUUGAACAUUAUGUGUAGUUGUGCACCUGGGUAUUUUCGUCUGGAUUUAGUAUUUUGAGAGUUAUGGGCCUUGACUUAGUAAAAUUUUGCAAUUUUCAACUUGUGUCGCAUGUUACUCAAGCAGUAUUUGACCUAGAGCAAUGAAACUUUACAGGAAUGUUGAACAUUAUGUGUAGUUGUGCACCUGGGUAUUUUCGUCUGGAUUUAGUAUUUUGAGAGUUAUGGCCCUUGAUUUAGUAAAAUUUUGCAAUUUUCAACUUGUGUCGCAUGUAACUCAAAAAGUAUUUGACUUACAGUCAUGAAACUUUACAGGAAUGUUGAUCAGCAUGUGUAGUUGCGCAUUUGGGUAUUUUCGUGUGGAUUUAUCCAGUAUUUGUAAAGUUAUUGCCCUUGACUUGGUAAAAUUUUGCAGUUUUCAACUUGUGUCACAUGUAACUCAAAAAGGAUUUGACAUAGAGUCAUUAAACCUUACGGGAAGGUUGCACAGCAUAUUUAGUUUUGCACCUGGGGUUUGGCUUGUGGAUUUAUCCAGUAUUUGUAGUUAUUUCCCUUGACUUAGUAAAAAACGUUUCAUUAUGUUGUUAUUUGUUCCUUGAGUGCUUGAGUGAGAAUCAACCAACUUUACAGGAAUAAUGAUCAACAUCACUAAAUUACAGGAAUAAUGAUUUACAUCACUGUGAAGCUAAGAACCUGGGACUUUCAUGUGGAUUUUUUUCAGUUUUGUUAAGAGUUAUUGCCCUUGACUCACAGUAGUAUAAAUUUACAAUUUUCAACUUGUUAAUGCAUAGCUCAAAAAGUAUUUAUGUUUUCUUUCAUUUCAUUCAGCCAAACAUAAAUAAUUUAACAUUUAACUAUAAUUAAUAUCCUACAGGGAUAAAAUAUAAAUAAGAAAGACAAUAUAGGAGUGGCUACUACAGGUUCACUUUAAUUUAUCAAAUAAUUUACAAUUUUCAACUUGUUCAUGCAUAGCUCAAAAAGUAUUUCACUUGUAGGCCUGAAUGUUUAAAAGAAUGUUGGGCAGCAUGUGUACUUAUGCACCUUGGGGUUAACUUGUGAAUUUAUUCAGUAUUUGUAAAGUUCUUGCCCUUUACUUAGUUAACGAUUUUUAGUUUUCAAAAAAUAUUUGACCUAGAGUCACAAGAUUGACAGAACAGUGGCGCGUAGAGGGGACCCGUGUCCUAUGGACCCAUUCCUAGUUAUCCAAAAUGUUUGUCUUGUUUUAUUUUUCAUUAAAAUUAUAUGUAGUUCAAACAAAUUGUGAAUGCAUGAAAGCAUCAAUUCUGUUUUACUUGAAAAUUUAGAACCAUAUUUUCAGUUUCAAUCAGCAAAUAUCCCAACAUUUGUAUAUUUACAAUUAAAAAAUCACGAGACAGUUAAAAAGAUGUCAUUCUCAUUGACACUCUGAUUUCAUUUUAGUAAACAAAUCCUGGGCAAUAAGAUAUUUUAGGUAGCUGUGCUAUUUGUAGGUAGGUCGCGGGAGUGGGGAACAAACAAUAUUUUACAUUCAGGGGUAAGCCUAAGUUUUUAGGCUUGGUAGGAACAUUGCCCUUCUCAGAUAAUGGCACCAACUGAUUUUGAGGUAAUUAGAUUUAAAGCUCAAUAUGGCAUAAAGUUUAACUUCCUUUAAAUAUGUGUAACAUUGUAAGGUAUAGUUUAUGUAACUCAGAAGGAAAAAUUCUGAUUGCCAUUAGUUUUAAGAUUGGUCCAUUUGAUUAUAAGUUCAAGGUCUCAGUGACAUGUAAACUCAUUGUCCCAAGGUUUUGAACAUUUCCAGGGACAUUGCUUAGAUUAGUAAAUAAAGCAUUAGUUUGGAGUUAAUAAGGUCUAAGGUCACAAUGGCUUAAGCAUAAUAUCCUUCAUCACCAGAAACCCAUAAGGGGUUAGCUCAAGUUCAUACAAUUUGGUUGGAAUUAAGAUAUUAUUUAUUUCCUUCUACAAUAUUGGCCAUCUUCACACUUCCUCUUCCUGUUAAGACAGCAUGGAUUGAAUAAAAAAUAAAACUAUAACUGUAAAGAAGUCACUGUUGUACAAUUUUAAGAGUAAGAAAAAAAGAUAUGCUGUUCAUUUGAAAAUAUUUUAUUGUUGUUUUACUGCCAAUGUUCAAAUACAUGUUUCAAUUUAUCUGUGUUUUUGUUAUUUUAACAACAUUCCAAAAUGUGUCCUGAAACGUGCUAAGAGAAGUGGUGUGUAAAUUAACAUUGAAAGGUAUUUGUAAAACAUUGUUACAAUCUGUGAUCUUAUUUGAAUUUUAAAAAAGUACAUUUGACAUCUGAAAAUAGAGAAAUCAAGAAUUCCUGCAGAAAGCCCAAAAUGACAAAAUUGAAACUGUUGCAGGCUCUAUUUGGUGAGCCUGUUGGAAAGUGCAAGUUACCUUCCAUGCCCCCCUAGCACCAGCUUUAGCAGAAUUCAACAUUUGAACAUAAAGUGGUGAAAUUUAUGGUUUUAUGCCAUACCGGUGUACAUAAUCCAGAGAUUAGGAUUUAAUUCUUGGCAAUCUUAUUUUCAGUGGAAUGCAACUGUUCAUUGUUAACAGAAUAAUAUUUACACAGGUUGCACUGUGUUUGUAUUGGAAUGAAAUUCUCAU